CACCUAGCCUAGAGGCGGCUGCCAAGCGUCCUGGCUGAGGGAUGGCGGGACCCCAGGCGGCUGGAGUGGAGAAAGUUGACCGCCCCCGUCUUUUCUGCCCCGUGGGUGGCUACUGCGUGCCCCCAAGUAACCCAGAGGUUGAGGGCCCCCCAGUGCGCGGCGGCCGGGGGUCAGGAUGCGGGACUCCCCUCCACCGCCAUGAUCUCGCAGUGUGGGGGAGCGCUCGGGGACAGAAAUGAGGCCCGAGAUGUGUGCCUUCUCCUUGCUCCUGACCGCUGACUUCGUUAUUCCAAAUACGCAGCCGAAACCAUCGCUCUUGCAGGUGCAGCUUUUCUCUGCCUCUCCUAUGUGGAAAGCAGCGCAGCGUGGACUCCAGCCAAACUCCCUCGAUUGGAUUGCAGCUCUCUGGCUCUCUGUCCCUGUGACCUUGGGCAGUUUACCUCCUCUAUGUCUCAGUUUCCUCAGCUGUGCAAAGGGGUUACUGAUCCUGCUUAAUGGGGUGGGUUGUUGUGAAGAGGAAAUGAGUUAACAUAAGUAGAGAAAGAGACUGGUGCCUGGCAAGCACUAUAGGACACAACAAGGCACCAUCUUGGAAGCAGAGAGCGAGCCAUCACUGGACACCAAACCUGCAGGUGCCUUGAUCUUGGACUUCCCAGCCUCUAUAACUGUAAGUGAUGAAUUUGCUGUUUACAAAUUAUCCAGUUUCAGGUAUUUUGUUAUAGCAGCACAAACAGACUAAGACACAUAAUUUUAAAAAUUGAUUAAUCAUACU
rnacentral:lncRNA from 1 species